GACCUGGUGGUGUAAUGGUAACACACUUAUUCAACAUAAUUCAUGCAAUAGAAUGUUUGUGCAAGGGAUCCCUGUUCAACUCGGGGUUGGGUUA